UUGAACGCUGGCGGCAGGCCUAACCCCUGCAAGUCGCGCGGAUGAAGGGAGCUUGCUCCUGGAUUCAGCGGCGGACGGGUGAGUAAUGCCUAGGAAUCUGCCUGGUAGUGGGGGAUAACGUCCGGAAACGGGCGCUAAUACCGCAUACGUCCUGAGGGAGAAAGUGGGGGAUCUUCGGACCUCACGCUAUCAGAUGAGCCUAGGUCGGAUUAGCUAGUUGGUGGGGUAAAGGCCUACCAAGGCGACGAUCCGUAACUGGUCUGAGAGGAUGAUCAGUCACACUGGAACUGAGACACGGUCCAGACUCCUACGGGAGGCAGCAGUGGGGAAUAUUGGACAAUGGGCGAAAGCCUGAUCCAGCCAUGCCGCGUGUGUGAAGAAGGUCUUCGGAUUGUAAAGCACUUUAAGUUGGGAGGAAGGGCAGUAAGUUAAUACCUUGCUGUCUUGACGUUACCAACAGAAUAAGCACCGGCUAACUUCGUG
rnacentral:rRNA from 1 species